rnacentral:rRNA from 1 species
UACGUAGGGCGCAAGCGUUGUCCGGAAUUAUUGGGCGUAAAGAGCUCGUAGGCGGUUUGUCGCGUCUGCUGUGAAAACCUAAGGCUCAACCUUGGGCUUGCAGUGGGUACGGGCAGACUAGAGUGCGGUAGGGGUGAUUGGAAUUCCUGGUGUAGCGGUGGAAUGCGCAGAUAUCAGGAGGAACACCAAUGGCGAAGGCAGAUCUCUGGGCCGUAACUGACGCUGAGGAGCGAAAGCAUGGGGAGCGAACAGG